UACGAAGGGGGCUAGCGUUUGCUCGGAAUCACUGGGCGUAAAGGGUGCGUAGGCGGGUCUUUAAGUCAGGGGUGAAAUCCUGGAGCUCAACUCCAGAACUGCCUUUGAUACUGAAGGAUCUUGAGUUCGGGAGAGGUGAGUGGAAUUCCGAAGUGUAGAGGUGAAAUUCGUAGAUAUUCGGAAAGAACACCAGUGGCGAAGGCGGCUCAUCUGG
rnacentral:rRNA from 1 species